UUUUUUCUUUAUUUGAGAGAGCAAGUGCACACAAGUGGGGAUGGGGGGAGGGAGAGGGAGGGAGAGAAUCCCAAGCAGACUCCAGGCUGAGCAUGGAGCCCAAGGUGGGGCUUGAUCCCAUGACCCAGAGAUCAUGACCUGAGCUGAAAUCAAGAGCCUGAUGCUCAACUGACUGAGCCACUCAGGCACCCUGGUGGCUCUCUUUUUAACUUUUUAAGGAACUUCCAUACUGUUUCACAGUGGCUGCACCAGUUUGCAUUGCCACCAACAGUAUAAGAGGGUUCCCCCUUCUCCACAUCUUCACCAACACCUGUUGUUUCUGUUGUUAAUUUUAGCCAUUCUGACAGGUGUGUGUACCUCAUCAUGGUUUUCACUUGUACUUUCCUGAUGCUGAGUGACACUGAGCACCUCUUAAUGGGUCUGUUAGCCAUCUGGACGUCUUCUUUGGAAAAGUGUCUAUUCAUGUCUUCUGCCCAUUUCUUAACUGGAUUAUUUGUUUUUUGGGUGUUGAGUUUGAUUAAGUCGUUUAUAGACUGCAGAUACAAACUUUUUAUCAGAUAUGUCAUUUGCAAAUAUCUUCUCCCAUUCCCUAGGUUGCCUUUUAGUUUUGUUGAUUGUUUCCUUUACUGAGCAGAAGCUUUUUAUCUUAAUGAAGCCCAAUAGUUCAUUUUUGCUUUUGUUUCCCUUGCUUCCGGAGACGUGUCUAGCAAGAAGCUGCUACAGCCGAAGUCAAAGAGGUUUCUUGCCUGUGUUCUCCUCUAAGAUUUUGAUGGAUUCCUGUCUCACAUUUAGAUCUUUCAUCCUUUUUGAAUUUAUUUUUAUGUAUGGUAUAAGAAAGUGAUCCAAUUUUCUCAAUACCAUUUGUUGAAGAGGCAGUCUUUUUUUUCCAUUGGACAUUCUUUCUUGCUUUGUCAAAAGAUUCGUUGACUAUAGAGCUGAGGGCCCAUUUCUGGGUUCUCUCUUCUGUUCCAUUGAUCUGUGUGUCUGUUUUUGUGCCAGUACCACACUGUCUUGAUCACGACAGCUUUGUAAUACAGCUUGAAAUCCGGAAUUGUGAUGCCUCCAGUUUUGUUUUUCUUUUUCAAAGCUGCUUCGGCUAUUUGAGGUCUUCUGGGGUUCCAUACAAAUUUUAGGAUUAAUUGUUCCAGCUCUGUGAAAAAAGAUGGUGAUAUUUUGACAGGGACAGCAUUAAAUGUGUGGAUCGCUUUACAUUUUAACAAUGUUUGUUCUUCCCAUCCAUGAGCAUAUAAUGCUUUUCCAUUUCUUUAUGUCCUCUUCAAUUUCUUUCAUAAGUGUUCCAUCAUUUUCAGAAUAUGGAUCUUUGACCUCUUUAGUUAGGUGUAUUCCUAAGUAUCUUAUUGUUUCUGGUGCAACAGAUUUCUGUACAUUGAUUUUGUAUCCUGCAACUUUGCUGAAAUCAUGUCUUAGUUCUAGUAAUUUUUUAGUGGAGUCUUCAGGUUUUCUACAUAGAGUAUCAUGUCAUCUGCAAAUAGUGAAAGUUUGACUUCUUCCUCCCAAUUUAGAUGCCUUUUAUUUCUUUUUGCUGUCCGAUUGCUGAGGCUAAGACUUCCAGUACUAUGUUAAAUAGUGAUGGUGAGAAUGGACAACCUUGUCUUCCUUCUGGCCAUGGGGGAAAGGCUCUCAGUUUUUCCCCAUUGAGGAUAUUACCUAUGGGCCUUCUGUUUAUGGCCUUUAUAAGGUGACGUAUGUUCCCUCUAUGCCUGCUUUGUUGAGGGUUUUUAUAAAGAACGGAUCCUGUAUUUUGUCAUAUGCUUUUUCCUCAUCUACUUAGAGGAUGAUAUGCUUCUUAUUCUUUCUUUUAUUAAUGUGGUGUAUCUCAUUGAUUUGCAAAUAUGGAACCACAUCUGCAGCCCCAGAGUAAAUCCCACUUAAUCAUGGUGAAUAAUUCUUUUAAAGUAUUGUGGAAUUCAAUUUGCUAAUAUUUUAUUGAGAAUUUUGGCAUUCAUGUUCAUCAGGGAUAUUGGCCUCUAAUUCUCCUUUUUAGUGGGGUCUUUGUCUGGUUUUGGAAUCAAGGUAAUGCUGGCUUCAUAGAAUGAGUUUGAAAGUUUUCCUUCCAUUUCUGUUUUUUGGAAUAGCUUGAAAAGAAUAGGUUUUAACUCCUCUGUAAAUUUCUGGUUGAAUUCUCCUGGGAAGUCAUCUGGCCCAGGACUUGUUUGUUGGGAGAUUUUUGAUUAUUGAUUCAGUUUCUUUGCUAGUUAUGGGUCUGCUCAAAUUUUCUAUUUCUUCCUGUUUCAGUUUUGGUAGUUUGUAAACUUCUAGGAAUUGUACAUUUUUUCCAGAUUGCCCAGUUUGUUGGCAUGUAAUUUUUCAUAAUAUUCUCUUUUAAUUGUUUGUAUUUCUGUGCCAUUGGUUGUGGUUUCUCCUCUUUCGUUUGUAAUUUUAUCUAUUUAGGUCCCUUCACUUUCCUUUUUGAUAAGUCUGGCCAGGGGUUUGUCAAUUUUAUUAAUUCUUUUAAAGAACCAACUCUUAGUUUGGUUGAUCUGUUCUACCAGGAGGGUUUUUUUGUUUGUUUUUAUCUCAUUAAUUUCUGCUCUAAUCUUUAUUAUUUCCUUUCUUCUGCUGGCUUUAGGCUUUUUUUGCUGUUUCUUUUCUAGCUCCUUUGGCAUAAGGUUAGGUUGCAUAUUUGAGACUUUUCUUCCUUCUUGAGGUAGGCCUGUAUUGCAAUAUGGGACUGCCUUUGCUGUAUCCCAAAAGGUUUUGGACUGUUGUGUUUUCAUUUGCUUCCAUGUAUUUUUCUUAUUUCUUAUUUAGUUUCCUGGUUAACCCAUUCAUUCUUUAGUAGGAUGUUUUCUAAAAACUGCUUUUUAAAUAUUACGCUAAUAAAGUGAAAAAAGGCAUUCAUUUUUAACAGAAAUUCAGUUUUAACUGAAUAUCCUAUAUUCUCAUUUGCUAAGCCUAACAAUUCUGUGGAAGAACAUGGAAAUUUCAAGUUAUAAACAUGAUGAACCUUUUAAUAUAUUGGGCAUAUUUUGAGCCUCCUUCUCUCUACCCCUUGGCAGGUGUUCCCUCCUUUCUCUCAAGCUGACAGGCCCCAGUUGAGUAGAGGCAGAGGUUUAGAUGGGCUGGAUACUCCCAAUACUAGAUUAGUUAAUUUGCCACAAUUUGGCACUCCCUAUAAUGAACCCCAGGAUUUUAUAGAGUUUUUUGGGGGAGGUGAGGGACAGAGAGAGAGAGAGAAUCUUAAGCAGACUCCACAUCCAGUGCAGAGCCCAACGUGGGGCUUGAGCUUACCACCCUGAGAUCAUCAUGACUCGAGCCAACAUCAAGCCAGAUUUUUUUAUAUUCAAAUGUAAAUUUUAUAUUUAUUUAUAGUGUUCUAAACAAACACUCUGUUUACAUCAGGUUUACAUUUGAUCACAGGUUUUUUGGUUUAUAUGUGUGCUAUUUUGGUAAUUUCAUUAAAGUCUAUGAAAUCAGAAACUGGGAUUUCAGUGACUUCAUGCUCACCAGAAAUCUAGUGUGACAUCCAAAAAAUGCUUUCAGUAAAUGCCAGCUAAAUUAUUAUUCUCUUGUCUUAGAUAUUUUAAAAGUAAUACAUCUGACCUUUAAUGGAGCAAGCUUUCUUUCCAUUAAUGGGGCUAUUUUUCACAAGAUCAUUUACAUUACAUCAGUGUAAAUUUAAUAUUUUAUUUAUUCAGGCAGCCAUCCCCACCAAACUUUGCAGAGCCAGGAUUAGAAUCUCUAUAUUUCUGAAGUCACCUGUCGACACAACUGUGGUUGAAUAAUUACAUUUAGCAAUCUAUAACCUCAGGCAAUUCCAGUUGCUACAGCUAUGCCUCGGCUGAGAUUUCGGGUAUCAGCACAUCACCAAGAUAACAAUAAAGCUCAUAAAACUGAACCUAUUAUCUGCCAAACACAUCUCUGGAUACUUGCAUCUUGGAGAGAAGUCUAUUAUAGAGAUACUGACACACAUCACACCCCCGCCGUCCAACUAUAUACUCACAAUAUUAUUAUUGACGGUAAGCGCCAACUAAGGCUUGUCAUCAACCAUAAUCGGCUGAUCUGUCUGAGACAGAUUUAAUUUACUGACAUAAAGCAUUCUCAUUUUCUGCUUUCCCAGGUUAGGCAUAUGCCUGAGAGGUCACAGAGAGUAAUAAUUCCCACCGCAGGGAGCUGAUGACAGGUCACUGAUGAUGACCAGACAUUAGAAACUCUUUGCUAAAAAAAAAAAAAAAAAAAAAAAAAAA
rnacentral:lncRNA from 1 species